rnacentral:rRNA from 1 species
GACAAACGCUGGCGGCGUGCUUAACACAUGCAAGUCGAACGGAAAGGCCCUGCUUUUGUGGGGUGCUCGAGUGGCGAACGGGUGAGUAACACGUGAGUAACCUGCCCUUGACUUUGGGAUAACUUCAGGAAACUGGGGCUAAUACCGGAUAGGAGCUCCUGCUGCAUGGUGGGGGUUGGAAAGUUUCGGCGGUUGGGGAUGGACUCGCGGCUUAUCAGCUUGUUGGUGGGGUAGUGGCUUACCAAGGCUUUGACGGGUAGCCGGCCUGAGAGGGUGACCGGCCACAUUGGGACUGAGAUACGGCCCAGACUCCUACGGGAGGCAGCAGUGGGGAAUAUUGCACAAUGGGCGGAAGCCUGAUGCAGCAACGCCGCGUGCGGGAUGACGGCCUUCGGGUUGUAAACCGCUUUCGCCUGUGACGAAGCGUGAGUGACGGUAAUGGGUAAAGAAGCACCGGCUAACUACGCG